rnacentral:rRNA from 1 species
GACAGAGGGUGCAAACGUUGUUCGGAAUUACUGGGCGUAAAGCGCGUGUAGGCUGCUUCGCAAGUCGGAUGUGAAAGCCCUGGGCUCAACCCAGGAAGUGCAUUCGAAACUGCAGAGCUGGAGUCCUGGAGAGGAAGGCGGAAUUCUCGGUGUAGAGGUGAAAUUCGUAGAUAUCAGGAAGAACACCUAUGGCGAAAGCAGCUCUCUGGGACGGUACUGACGCUGAGACGCGAAAGCGUGGGGAGCGAACAGG